rnacentral:rRNA from 1 species
UGUUUCGGCUAGGGGGCCAUCCCGGCUUACCAACCCGAUGCAAACUGCGAAUACCGGAGAAUGUUAUCACGGGAGACACACGGCGGGUGCUAACGUCCGUCGUGAAGAGGGAAACAACCCAGACCGCCAGCUAAGGUCCCAAAGUCAUGGUUAAGUGGGAAACGAUGUGGGAAGGCCCAGACAGCCAGGAUGUUGGCUUAGAAGCAGCCAUCAUUUAAAGAAAGCGUAAUAGCUCACUGGUCGAGUCGGCCUGCGCGGAAGAUGUAACGGGGCUAAACCAUGCACCGAAGCUGCGGCAGCGACACUCAGGUGUUGUUGGGUAGGGGAGCGUUCUGUAAGCCUGUGAAGGUGGCCUGUGAGGGUUGCUGGAGGUAUCAGAAGUGCGAAUGCUGACAUAAGUAACGAUAAAGCGGGUGAAAAGCCCGCUCGCCGGAAGACCAAGGGUUCCUGUCCAACGUUAAUCGGGGCAGGGUGAGUCGACCCCUAAGGCGAGGCCGAAAGGCGUAGUCGAUGGGAAACGGGUUAAUAUUCCCGUACUUGGUGUUACUGCGAAGGGGGGACGGAGAAGGCUAUGUUGGCCGGGCGACGGUUGUCCCGGUUUAAGCGUGUAGGUGUGUGUUCCAGGUAAAUCCGGUUCACUUUAACACUGAGGCGUGACGACGAGGCACUACGGUGCUGAAGCAACAAAUGCCCUGCUUCCAGGAAAAGCCUCUAAGCAUCAGGUAACAUCAAAUCGUACCCCAAACCGACACAGGUGGUCAGGUAGAGAAUACCAAGGCGCUUGAGAGAACUCGGGUGAAGGAACUAGGCAAAAUGGUGCCGUAACUUCGGGAGAAGGCACGCUGACAUGUAGGUGAAGUGAUUUACUCAUGGAGCUGAAGUCAGUCGAAGAUA